AACGUAGGUACCGAGCGUUAUCCGGAUUUACUGGGCGUAAAGCGUGUUCAGGCGGCCUGGCAAGUCGGGCAUGAAAUCUCUCGGCUCAACCGAGAGAGGCUGUCCGAUACUGCUGGGCUUGAGGACGGUAGAGGGUGGUGGAAUUCCGCGUGUAGUGGUGAAAUGCGUAGAUAUGCGGAGGAACACCAGUGGCGAAGGCGGCCUUCUGGUCCAGUACUGACACUCAAGUGCGAAAGCGUGGGGAGCAAACAGG
rnacentral:rRNA from 1 species